UGCGCUUUCCGGCCAGAGGACAUGAUGCAGGGGGAGGCACACCCUAGUGCUUCCCUUAUUGACAGAACCAUCAAGAUGAGAAAAGAAACAGAGGCUAGGAAAGUGGUCUUAGCCUGGGGACUCCUAAAUGUAUCUAUGGCUGGAAUGAUAUAUACUGAAAUGACUGGAAAAUUGAUUAGUUCAUACUACAAUGUGACAUACUGGCCCCUCUGGUAUAUUGAGCUUGCCCUUGCAUCUCUCUUCAGCCUUAAUGCCUUAUUUGAUUUUUGGAGAUAUUUCAAAUAUACUGUGGCACCAACAAGUCUGGUUGUUAGUCCUGGACAGCAAACACUUUUAGGGUUGAAAACAGCUGGUUUGUACAGACUACGCCUCCGCAUGAUCUGGCAGCAACCCAAAUCCCUCCCGCUCCACCUUCCCCUUCAAUUCAGGGUCAGAGUGUGUUGAGUUAUAGCCCUUCUCGUUCGCCCAGUACCAGUCCCAAGUUCACCACCAGCUGUAUGACUGGUUACAGCCCUCAGCUGCAAGGUCUGUCCUCAGGUGGCAGUGGUUCUUAUAGCCCUGGAGUGACCUACUCGCCCGUCAGUGGUUAUAAUAAGGUAAUGACUCUCUUCUCUUGUCUAGUCACAUUAUUUUAGAAUUGAGAGGUAUACUAAAAAUCAUCUAAUGAGUCAAAACUUAUCAGUGAGCAAACUGAGAGUUGAUUUGC
rnacentral:lncRNA from 1 species